rnacentral:rRNA from 1 species
AUUGAACGCUGGCAGCAUGCCUUACGCAUGCAAGUCGAACGGUAACGGGCCUUCGGGUGCCGACGAGUGGCGAACGGGUGAGUAAUGUAUCGGAACGUACCUUUCAGUGGGGGAUAACGUAGCGAAAGUUACGCUAAUACCGCAUAUUCUGUGAGCAGGAAAGCAGGGGAUCGCAAGACCUUGCGCUGAUUGAGCGGCCGAUAUCAGAUUAGCUAGUUGGUGGGGUAAAAGCUCACCAAGGCGACGAUCUGUAGCGGGUCUGAGAGGAUGAUCCGCCACACUGGAACUGAGACACGGUCCAGACUCCUACGGGAGGCAGCAGUGGGGAAUUUUGGACAAUGGGGGCAACCCUGAUCCAGCCAUGCCGCGUGAGUGAAGAAGGCCUUCGGGUUGUAAAGCUCUUUCGGCCGGGAAGAAAUCGUAUCAGCUAAUACCUGGUGCGGAUGACGGUACCGGCAUAAGAAGCACCGGCUAACUACGUGCCAGCCGCCGCCGUAAAAC